rnacentral:rRNA from 1 species
GACGAACGCUGGCGGCGUGCCUAAUACAUGCAAGUAGAACGCUGAAGAGAGGAGCUUACUCUUCUUGGAUGAGUUGCGAACGGGUGAGUAACGCGUAGGUAACCUGCCUUGUAGCGGGGGAUAACUAUUGGAAACGAUAGCUAAUACCGCAUAACAAUGGAUGACACAUGUCAUUUAUUUGAAAGGGGCAAUUGCUCCACUACAAGAUGGACCUGCGUUGUAUUAGCUAGUAGGUGAGGUAAUGGCUCACCUAGGCGACGAUACAUAGCCGACCUGAGAGGGUGAUCGGCCACACUGGGACUGAGACACGACCCAGACUCCUACGGGAGGCAGCAGUAGGGAAUCUUCGGCAAUGGGGGCAACCCUGACCGAGCAACGCCGCGUGAGUGAAGAAGGUUUUCGGAUCGUAAAGCUCUGUUGUAAGUCAAGAACGGGUGUGAGAGUGGAAAGUUCACACUGUGACGGUAGCUUACCAGAAAGGGACGGCUAACUACGUG